ensembl:lncRNA
GCUCAAUUUCAGAAGCCAGGAUAAAGGAAUGGAGUUACUUUGUGAGACCCUGUUCUGAUGCUUACUUUUUGGGGAGGAGGAGAUCUGGGAAAUACGUUAUUCUCAGAACAAAUGCUCCCUGGAGAUUUGCCAUCUCCCAGCUGAAGCACCUCACAGUUUGCGGCCAUGCAGUUAUUACAGUCACACAUGUGAUUCCUGACACUUCCACAAGCAUGACCAAUUCACCUGAAUUUUCCUUGCACCACUACAACUUUUCUGGGACACAAAUGCACGGGAGCCAAAUAACAACAGUCUUUUAAGGACAGUAAGGCAAAAUACAGGAACUGGGACAUUUCUAACAGGUUCUCUACCAGCUUCUGGUACCAGACCCUCAUGUGGAGUGAAGCUACAAAGCCUAUGGAAAUACAUGAGGUGAUUUUAUUCUGCUUAGAAAAAAAGGCAAAGUGAAAGGCAUCUCCUCCCUACCCAAAGGAGCAAGUCAGGGAGUGAAGCCUGUGGGUGAAGAUCAAGACUGAGGGAAAAAGGGAGGUCCCUAGAUGAAUCAUGAGAAUCCCUUUUAAAACACACUCAGCUAUGGACAAGAGAAAACUGCAGCAGCUCCAACUUCCACCCAUUGCCUCUCAAAGCCCAGUGGCACUUCCUGAGAGCUUGGGGCCUUCACUUCCGGAGAACAAACCAGAACUGUUUCCACUGUGAACUUUUCUACUUUAAGAUUAGAAUGAAAAGUAGAUAACUGCAGAGUUGCCUUUUAACAUUAUCUAUGACCAUGUGCAGUGUCAUUAGUAGCCAAGGUUGCUAAUCUUAUGCAGUAAUUCUGUGCUUCCUUUGAAGAAACAACCUAGAGCAC